AGAGAGAGAGAGAGAGAGAGAGCAGGAGCGAGAGGAAGAGAGAGAGAGAGCAGGAGUGAGAGGAGUAGAGAGAGACAGCAGGAGCGAGAGGGGCAGAGAGAGAGAGAGCAGGAGUGAGAGGAGUAGAGAGAGACAGCAGGAGUAAGAGAGGGGCAGAGAGAGAGAGAGAGAGAGAGCAGGAGCGAGAGGAGUAGAGAGAGACAGCAGGAGCGUGAGAGGCAGAGAGAGAGAGCAGGAGCGAGAGGGGCAGAGAGAGAGACAGCAGGAGCGAGAGGGGCAGAGAGAGAGCAGGAGAGCGAGAGGGGCAGAGAGAGAGAGAGCAGGAGUGAGAGGAGUAGAGAGAGACAGCAGGAGCGAGAGGGGCAGAGAGA